rnacentral:rRNA from 1 species
CAAACGCUGGCGGCGUGCCUAACACAUGCAAGUCGAACGAGAAAGUCGGUUUCGGCCGAUGAGUAAAGUGGCGCACGGGUGAGUAACGCGUGGAUAAUCUACCCUUUAGUCCGGAAUAACUUGCCGAAAGGUGAACUAAUACCGGAUGACAUCCCGGGUUCUCCGGAAACCGGGAUCAAAGAAGGCCUCUGCUUGCAAGCUUUUGCUGAAGGAUGAGUCCGCGUACCAUUAGCUAGUUGGUGGGGUAAUGGCCUACCAAGGUUAUGAUGGUUAGCUGGUCUGAGAGGAUGAUCAGCCACACUGGAACUGAAACACGGUCCAGACUCCUACGGGAGGCAGCAGUGAGGAAUAUUGCGCAAUGGGGGCAACCCUGACGCAGCAACGCCGCGUGAGUGAGGAAGGUUUUCGGAUUGUAAAGCUCUGUCGAGCGGAAAGAAAUGCACGAUGGCUAAUAUCCAUCAUGCUUGACGGUACCGCUAGAGGAAGCACCGGCUAACUCCGUG